rnacentral:rRNA from 1 species
AUACGGAGGGUGCAAGCGUUAUUCGGAAUCAUUGGGCGUAAAGGGCGCGUAGGCGGCCUGGUAAGUCAGGUGUGAAAGCCCGGGGCUCAACCCCGGAAGUGCAUUUGAUACUGCCAGGCUUGAGUAUGGGAGAGGGAAGUGGAAUUCCUGGUGUAGAGGUGAAAUUCGUAGAUAUCAGGAGGAACACCGGUGGCGAAGGCGACUUCCUGGACCAAUACUGACGCUGAGGCGCGAAGGCGUGGGGAGC